rnacentral:rRNA from 1 species
UACGUAGGGUGCGAGCGUUGUCCGGAAUUAUUGGGCGUAAAGAGCUCGUAGGCGGUGUGUCGCGUCGGCCGUGAAAACCUGGGGCUUAACUCUGGGCGUGCGGUCGAUACGGGCAUCACUGGAGUUCGGCAGGGGAGACUGGAAUUCCUGGUGUAGCGGUGAAAUGCGCAGAUAUCAGGAGGAACACCGGUGGCGAAGGCGGGUCUCUGGGCCGAUACUGACGCUGAGGAGCGAAAGCAUGGGGAGCAAACAGG